CCCGGCCCGCGGGGCCAAAAUCCUGAGGGAUCCGCUAAGGGGAUGCCGUCGGCUUAGACGCGGAGCGUCCCCGCCUGCGCGUCCUCUGCCCGGCGUGGCGGAGCGCGGGCGAGCCCAGCCCGCGAGGGGCUCGCAGCCUUCCCCUGCACCGUCCUCCCGCUGCUGGAUUGUGGCUUCAGGCAUGGCGGACUGCGUGUUUGGUGUUUGCACCUUUGUUGGAUUUUUGCCUUUUAGCUGAGAAAACUUUGCAACUUUCCUGCAAUUUCAAAGAGCUGCGGCUUCUUCUGGCUUUUUUUUUUUUUUUUUUUUAAUUUGAGGUCACGUGUAUGUGACAGUGUGACAGUAUGUUUGAAUCUAAGCGAUGGCCUCCUCUCUAACGUCGAAGGAGCUUUGAGCUCUUCCCUCUGUGGUAUUCGCUCUGUUCAGGAACAAAGAGAGAUUUCUGCCUUUGGUUAAAAGGAAUAUUAAUUCCGUGGUCCUUGUCGAUCAACUUGAAGACGCUCUGCAAGAAUUCGUCUGCUGAGCACCGCUGUGGGGCAAGCUCCGCUGUGUGCGUCGGCGGCGGUCGGGGCACGGAGAUGUUGGGGAAUUGUCCCGAAAACGCGCGGCAAAGCCGGAGCGGAAAUCGGGGAGGAUGCUGAAAGUCCGGGCACCUGGAGCCCCGCACUGCUCUGCCGUGAGAUAACACCGGGGCCGAGCCGUCGCCUGCGGUGGGGGCUUGCUUCUCCGGCUGCAGAUGAGGCAGGGCCGUGUGCCCGGUGCUUCCAUGAAAAGAGAAGUUUGAAUUUUGCUUUUGCUGUGCUUGGGGAAAGCCCCCCGGGAAGGAAAACAAAGAUGAACUUGGCUGCGCAGAGGGUUUUUUCCCUGCCUGCUGCCUCUCGUCGCGCCCCGCCGGUGUCUGGGCUGGCAGGGAGAAGAAGCGAAGGGUGUGGGCAGGCCAGGCCAGCUACGGACACCGCACGCGGUGGGAGCGAGGCCUCGGUGCCGGAGUCCCGGGUGUGAGACGAGGCCUGAAGCGGGAUGCAAAAACGCUCCGGCGGGCUGCAGUGCCGGGAAAGCGAGGGCCUGGGGGCAGCGCGGGCCCGCGGCGGGACGCUGCCGCGGCUGCGAUCGCCCCCUCCCUCCCUCCCUGCCUCCUUCCCGCGGAGCCGGCGGCUCGGCGGGAGCCUCCCGGCACGGCCCGAUGCCCGCUGCUAUCCUGCCUCGCCGAGCAGCCAGGCCCCCGCUGGGAGCGGGGGGCUGCAGCACGGUUUCCGGGGGAAUUGGUGGGAAACGGGGCGCCGCUGUCGGGGCAGCAGGAGGAACGUCCCGCGAGGAGCCCGGCGUCAGGCGCCCUGGCAGGAUCGGUGCCAGCCGCGGUCGCUUCCCGGGGGCCGGCACCCGGCAGGAGGGUCUGGCUGGGUUCUUGGGUCCGGGUGGGGGAUCCCGCACCGACCGCAGCAGAGCUCCCGCGGGUGCCGGCGCGGCAUGGAUGGCUCCAGCGCGAGGGGCCGGGCAGCCGGGUCCGGCGCCUCAGGUGGCCCCGGCAGCGUCGGAGUCCACGGUGGCUGCGAGUGGGCUGGUGCCCCCCGGGUGCCUCUCCCGGCCCCGCGGCUGCGUUUUGGUGCCGGGGGCCCUUUCUCACGGCGCGUGCUGGCGCUGCGGCGCGUGCUGCUGCUCUCGCACCGGGCCCAGCACCGUGAACCGGAGCAGGUGGCAAUUACUUGCUCCGCCGGGCUGGGGCGGAGGGAGGAUGCUGAAGCUGGUGUCGGUCUCUGCCCGCGUGGCCCUGGGCGCUGCAGGCUCGGGGCUCGAGCUGCCUUCAGUGCUGUUGCCCGUUUCUGGGUGUAUUUUUAGAAUUCCCGAAGCUUGCUUUCCGCCCGCCCUCGCUCCCCAGGGGCGGCCGCACCUCGGCAAGCCUGCAGCUUUCCUUUGGAAGAUGCUGACCCGUACUUCCAGGAGGCAUCUAAGGGAUUUCCUGUUUAUUUUGCAAAAUCCUUUAUUAAUGCUUUUUCCCGCAUCAUUUGAUUAAAUCGCACAUGGAUGAAAUUGCCUUGAAAUGGAGCAGACAGCUAAGAAAAGGCAGAGGGGCAGGAACCGAGCAGCGUGUGGGCUGCACCGCCCGGGUUCGGCUCUCCGUCGCAGUCGUCGGCGUCCUGGCACCUGCAGGGCAGGAUAGGGCCCGGGAACCUCUGUGGAGCCAGCAGCGUCUCGGCAUUCCCAUGCUCCCACGGAGCUCCCAUCCAGCACGUUUUCCCAGCGCGGCUGGCUGCGACAACCACGCAGGGCGUUUCAGACGGGGCCUCUCCUUUCCGGCGGAGAGCACCAGGCUUUGCACCAGCGCAGGGGCCAGGGGGCUCCGGCUGUUUUUGGAUGCGCCUCGUGCAGCGGGACCUCUGCCGCAGGAGCAGCUCGGCGGGGACGGAGGCCCCGGGGCGUUGCGCUUCGAGCGGCGUCUGCCCGGCGCAACACCCGGGGCUCCGCUGGCGGCGGGAGAGCCGGGCCGGGCCGUUUGCCGGGCCGAUCCCUGGCCCGGGACCCGCUCCGGGGUGGAAGGGCGGCUGGAGCCAGCUGCCUCCCGCGAGCCGUCGCUGGCUCCUGCGCUCCGAUCCCGGGGCUGAGCCCGAGGCGGUUUUAUGGGCCAGGCUGCAUUGCACAAAAUGUUCGACUUGUAAAAUACGUAGCGUGAGAAAAUAGCCUUUUCUGUUCUUCUCCUUGCUGCCGCUGUUCCCCCUGCCCCAUCUGCUCGCUUGGAAAGCUUCCCGCAGCCGGGAGGCGCCGGGGGGGGGGGUGAGGGGCUGCGGGCCCGCGGGCUGCCGCGGCUCUGCCCCGCGCGAAGCUGGGACUGCCGUCGGUCUCCGCGGGCCGAGCGACGCUCCGACGCGGCGGACGCGGCUGGCCCCCGCCGAAAGCGGGGCUCGGGGCGAGCGUGUGCGGGGCGCUUUGGCGACGGCCGCGCGCGCGCGCGUGUGCUGCUGCGGUUCUGGGCCCGAGGGCUUCUCGCGCCCCAGGCGUGCUCCGGGAGCAGGCGCGGGCGCCCGCAGGGCCGGCCGGGAAGGGAGCCGAGGUCCCGGAGCUGGCGACGAGCCGCUGUUUUCACCAGCCACCUUAAUCCGUCAUUAUCUGGGCAUAUUUCGGAUCCUUGCCAAGAGCAAGGUGGGAAGGGGGGGUUGUAAGCAUGCUUUCCCUAUUCCCAUGCCAUCCUUUUUGCUGCCUGUGUGUAAUUAACAGAGUAAUUAAAAACAGGAUGAGUUAAUUGGUA